rnacentral:tRNA from 1 species
AGGGUUAUAGUUAAUCAUAACAUCUGAAUUGCACUCAGAAAGUACUAAACUUUAGUUAACCUUA